GAGGAUGUAACUCACUGGUAGAGUGCUUGCCUAGCAUGUGCAAGGCCCUGGGUUCAAUCCCCAAUAUCACCA
rnacentral:tRNA from 1 species